rnacentral:rRNA from 1 species
AUUGAACGCUGGCGGAAUGCUUUACACAUGCAAGUCGAGCGGCAGCGCGGGGCAACCUGGCGGCGAGCGGCGAACGGGUGAGUAACACAUCGGAACGUGCCCAGACGUGGGGGAUAGCCCGGCGAAAGCCGGAUUAAUACCGCAUACGAUCUAAGGAUGAAAGCGGGGGACUCGCAAGGGCCUCGCGCGUUUGGAGCGGCCGAUGGCAGAUUAGGUAGUUGGUGGGGUAAAGGCUUACCAAGCCUGCGAUCUGUAGCUGGUCUGAGAGGAUGAUCAGCCACACUGGGACUGAGACACGGCCCAGACUCCUACGGGAGGCAGCAGUGGGGAAUUUGGACAAUGGGCGCAAGCCUGAUCCAGCCAUUCCGCGUGCAGGACGAAGGCCUUCGGGUUGUAAACUGCUUUGUACGGACGAAAAGGUCUUCUCUAAUACAGAGGCCAUGACGGUACCGUAAGAAUAAGACACCGGCUAACUACGUGCCAGCAGCCGCGGU